UGAGUAACGCGUGGGUAACCUGCCUCACACUGGGGGAUAACAGUCAGAAAUGACUGCUAAUACCGCAUAAGCGCACGGAACCGCAUGGUUUUGUGUGAAAAACUCCGGUGGUGUGAGAUGGACCCGCGUUGGAUUAGCCAGUUGGCAGGGUAACGGCCUACCAAAGCGACGAUCCAUAGCCGGCCCGAGAGGGUGAACGGCCACAUUGGGACUGAGACACGGCCCAGACUCCUACGGGAGGCAGCAGUGGGGAAUAUUGCACAAUGGGGGAAACCCUGAUGCAGCGACGCCGCGUGAAGGAAGAAGUAUCUCGGUAUGUAAACUUCUAUCAGCAGGGAAGAUAAUGACGGUACCUGACUAAGAAGCCCCGGCUAACUACGUGCCAGCAGCCGCGGUAAUACGUAGGGGGCAAGCGUUAUCCGGAUUUACUGGGUGUAAAGGGAGCGUAGACGGAGCAGCAAGUCUGAUGUGAAAGGCAGGGGCUCAACCCCUGGACUGCAUUGGAAACUGUUGAUCUUGAGUACCGGAGGGGUAAGCGGAAUUCCUAGUGUAGCGGUGAAAUGCGUAGAUAUUAGGAGGAACACCAGUGGCGAAGGCGGC
rnacentral:rRNA from 1 species